UACGAAGGGGGCUAGCGUUGCUCGGAAUCACUGGGCGUAAAGGGUGCGUAGGCGGGUCUUUAAGUCAGAGGUGAAAUCCUGGAGCUCAACUCCAGAACUGCCUUUGAUACUGAGGAUCUUGAGUACGGGAGAGGUGAGUGGAACUGCGAGUGUAGAGGUGAAAUUCGUAGAUAUUCGCAAGAACACCAGUGGCGAAGGCGGACUCACUGGCCCGUAACUGACGCUGAGGCACGAAAGCGUGGGGAGCAAACAGG
rnacentral:rRNA from 1 species